rnacentral:rRNA from 1 species
GACGAACGCUGGCGGCGUGCUUAACACAUGCAAGUCGAACGGUGAACUCCGCUUGCGGGGGGAUCAGUGGCGAACGGGUGAGUAACACGUGGGCAACCUGCCCUCAGCUCUGGGAUAACUCCAAGAAAUUGGGGCUAAUACCGGAUAUGACCGCUGACCGCAUGGUCUGGUGGUGGAAAGAUUUAUCGGCUGGGGAUGGGGCCGCGGCCUAUCAGCUUGUUGGUGGGGGAGUGGCCUACCAAGGCGACGACGGGGAGCCGGCCUGAGAGGGUGACCGGCCCCGCUGGGCCUGGGCCACGGCCCAGACUCCUACGGGAGGCAGCGGUGGGGAAUAUUGCGCUAUGGGCGGAAGCCUGCCGCAGCGACGCCGCGUGGGGGAUGACGGCCUUCGGGUUGUAAACCUCUUUCAGCAGGGACGAAGCGAAAGUGACGGUACCUGCAGAAGAAGCACCGGCCAACUACGUG